CGGAUGUAGUUUAGUGGUAGAACUUCAGCUUCCCAAGCUGACCGUGUGGGUUCGAUUCCCAUCAUCCG
rnacentral:tRNA from 1 species